GAGUGGCGGAGGGUGAGUAUGUCUGGGGAUCUGCCCGAUAGAGGGGGAUAACCACUGGAAACGGUGGCUAAUACCGCAUAACGUCGCAAGACCAAAGAGGGGGACCUUCGGGCCUCUCACUAUCGGAUGAACCCAGAUGGGAUUAGCUAGUAGGCGGGGUAAGUCCCGCAACGAGAAUCCGUAACUGGUCUGAGAGGAUGAUCAGUCACACUGGAACUGAGACACGGUCCAGACUCCUACGGGAGGCAGCAGUGGGGAAUAUUGGACAAUGGGCGAAAGCCUGAUCCAGCCAUGCCGCGUGUGUGAAGAAGGUCUUCGGAUUGUAAAGCACUUUAAGUUGGGAGGAAGGGCAGUUACCUAAUACGUGAUUGUUUUGACGUUACCGACAGAAUAAGCACCGGCUAACUCUGUGCCAGCAGCCGCGGUAAUACAGAGGGUGCAAGCGUUAAUCGGAAUUACUGGGCGUAAAGCGCGCGUAGGUGGUUUGUUAAGUUGGAUGUGAAAUCCCCGGGCUCAACCUGGGAACUGCAUUCAAAACUGACUGACUAGAGUAUGGUAGAGGGUGGUGGAAUUUCCUGUGUAGCGGUGAAAUGCGUAGAUAUAGGAAGGAACACCAGUGGCGAAGGCGACCACCUGGACUGAUACUGACACUGAGGUGCGAAAGCGUGGGGAGCAAACAGGAUUAGAUACCCUGGUAGUCCACGCCGUAAACGAUGUCAACUAGCCGUUGGGAGCCUUGAGCUCUUAGUGGCGCAGCUAACGCAUUAAGUUGACCGCCUGGGGAGUACGGCCGCAAGGUUAAAACUCAAAUGAAUUGACGGGGGCCCGCACAAGCGGUGGAGCAUGUGGUUUAUUCGAAGCACGCGAGAACCUUACCAGGCCUUGACAUCCAAUGAACUUUCUAGAGAUAG
rnacentral:rRNA from 1 species